GGUAGCAACAAAGUACUUGGCUAAUUCACUCAUCCAUCGCGUAUUUUUGGUUGGACAUAUAGUUUCCUCAAAAGGUAGAAGGACUCAAUAAUAAAUAUGGAAAAAGCUCCAAGUCUAGUAGAAAAAGGGGACGAGAGCAAGUGGGGAGCUUAAUGAAUCAACAGCUACACAAGGAAGUCCAUAAUGCGGAUCAAGUUACUAUUUUUGAAGAUGCUGAUGAUUUUAUUAUUGAUUCUCAUAAUUAUGAUGAGGAAGGAACACAUGCAGAAGAACAACUAUGGAAAAAGAAAAGUAUUUUCUUUGUCUUGCCCUAUUGGAAAGAUAAUCUUCUUCGACAUAAUCUAGAUGUAAUGCAUAU